rnacentral:lncRNA from 1 species
UCCCAAGGCUCCGAUGCUGCUGCUAGCUCCCGCCGAGGGCGCUUAGAACUUCAUCAGGUGCGGGCGGUCGCCGUCCUUCAGGGUGAAGCGGGUCGACAGGUAGCCCUUCAGGUCGGCCGACAGGGCCGGCAGCAGAGCGGCGUCCAGGGUCUUCUGGUUGGCGAUGUACUCCUGGCUGAGCACGUUCUUCUUCGCCUCCGACUGGUCGAAGAACUCCUUCUCGCCCUUCUUGCUCGACUUGCUCUCCACCGCCUUGAAGUAGCUGUCCGUGAACUUCGACAGGUCCAGCUUGGGCAGCGACACCUUGGUGCUGGUGCCAAUCACGUACGCGGCGUUGACGCGACGCACCGGCACACCGUUCAGCUUGAACGGGCCGGUAACGAGCAGCAGGCCCGAAGGCAGCUGGCCCAGGAAGAUGACACGCUUGCCCUUGAAGCGACCGGCCAGCAGAAUCAGCACGGUGCCUGGCGUGAUGCUGGCGCGCAGCUUGGUCUGCUUGUGCACAGCGUUGUGCGACAGAGGCUUGGGCACAUCAUCGGCGGGGUAAAAGCGGGGAGCCUUGCCCUCAGCCUGCUUGGCCACAGCCUUCUUGGCGGGCGCGGGGAACUUGCCGCCGUUCUUCUUCUUGAUCGCCC